rnacentral:rRNA from 1 species
GGAGGGUGCAAGCGUUAUCCGGAUUCACUGGGUUUAAAGGGUGCGUAGGUGGGCAGGUAAGUCAGUGGUGAAAUCUCCGAGCUUAACUCGGAAACUGCCAUUGAUACUAUCUGUCUUGAAUUAUCUGGAGGUGAGCGGAAUAUGUCAUGUAGCGGUGAAAUGCUUAGAUAUGACAUAGAACACCAAUUGCGAAGGCAGCUCACUACGGAUAUAUUGACACUGAGGCACGAAAGCGUGGGGAUCAAACAGGAUUAGAUACCCUGGUAGUCCACGCCCUAAACGAUGGAUACUCGACAUCAGCGAUACACUGUUGGUGUCUGAGCGAAAGCAUUAAGUAUCCCACCUGGGAAGUACGAUCGCAAGAUUG